rnacentral:lncRNA from 1 species
CAUUCUUAAAGUGAAAGCGUGGCCAUUGUAAAGUCCCAAGGCAGGGUUUCAUCAGUUAUAUGACCCAGCAGGUCUGGGACUAGGUACCUUCUUCAUUUCCGGGCUUGGCAAUUGCAGGUAACUGAAAAUACAAUUGUUCAACUGGUCUGUUGCCUCAUACACAAAUCCCACACUAGCCAUGAAUGAGGAGAUCCUUAUGAUGUCAGAAACACAUCUAAGAAUGAUAUCACUUUAAGGGCUUGCCCUCUAGCUAUUCUUGGAACCCUGCCUCUGCCACGCUUAAAGAGCCCAAGCUAGCCUGACCGAUGGUGAGAGGCACGUGGACCAUUUACCCCCGUUGCCCUCGUCAACAUCCCACCAACUGCCAACCAUGCAGUAUCAGUAAUUGCAUGGUUUCAAGUUGUUGAAGAACUAUGGAUGGAGCAAAGAUGGACUUGAAUUUCCAGCCAACAGGAUGCCAUUCAGAGGUGAGUGAUGAUCCCUAGUAAUGUCAUCUCUGGGAACAUUUUCAGUCUUGGGGCCAAGACCAAGGGUUACACUUGAAGUGACUUACUCAGAGGCACAGUCCUAAGGGAAAGAGAAACUACUAAGUCUUCUGACAUUUGAAAUACCAUAUUAGAAAUUUAAGACACC